CCUACGGGUGGCUGCAGUCGAGGAUCUUCGGCAAUGGGCGCAAGCCUGACCGAGCGACGCCGCGUGGAGGAUGAAGGCCUUCGGGUUGUAAACUCCUGUCGAGGGGGAGCAAGGCCGCGCGAAGAGCGUGGCCCGAGCGAUCCCUGGAGGAAGCACGGGCUAAGUUCGUGCCAGCAGCCGCGGUAAGACGAACCGUGCGAACGUUAUUCGGAAUCACUGGGCUUAAAGCGCGUGUAGGCGGGCCGGCCCGUCGGCAGCUGAAAUCCCCCGGCUCA
rnacentral:rRNA from 1 species